UGGGGAAUUUUGCACAAUGGGGGAAACCCUGAUGCAGCGACGCCGCGUGAUUUAGAAGGCCUUCGGGUUGUAAAAAUCUUUUCUAUGGGAAGAAAAUGACAGUACCAUAGGAAUAAGGACCGGCUAAUUACGUGCCAGCAGCCGCGGUAAUACGUAAGGUCCGAGCGUUGUCCGGAAUCAUUGGGCGUAAAGGGUACGUAGGCGGGUAAGCAAGUUAGAAGGGAAAUCCUAUAGCUCAACUAUAGUAAGCUUUUAAAACUGCUCAUCUUGAGGUAUGGAAGGGAAAGUGGAAUUCCUAGUGUAGCGGUGAAAUGCGCAGAUAUUAGGAGGAAUACCGGUGGCGAAGGCGACUUUCUGGCCAUAACCUGACGCUGAGGUACGAAAGCGUGGGUAGCAAACAGG
rnacentral:rRNA from 1 species